rnacentral:rRNA from 1 species
CAGUAGCCACGGUAAUACGGAGGGCGCGAGCGUUACCCGGAUUCACUGGGCGUAAAGGGCGUGUAGGCGGCCUGGGGCGUCCCAUGUGAAAGGCCACGGCUCAACCGUGGAGGAGCGUGGGAUACGCUCAGGCUAGAGGGUGGGAGAGGGUGGUGGAAUUCCCGGAGUAGCGGUGAAAUGUGCAGAUACCGGGAGGAACGCCGAUGGCGAAGGCAGCCACCUGGUCCACUUCUGACGCUGAGGCGCGAAAGCGUGGGGAGCAAACCGGAUUAGAUACCCCUGUAGUCCCUGUCUCUUAUAC